GGUGGGGACACGUGUGGAGAGCACAAGCCGGAAAUGGAAAAGCCGGUGCAAGCGAGGUAGGAGUACAGUAGGCAAAUCCGCUGUACAAUCCGAAGACGUGAUGCGGACCGAAUUAAGAGUAGGGAAGUGUGUGAGCCAUGCGUCAAGAAAAGCCGCUAUUGUUUUACUUAAGCCCGUACCGUAAACCGACACAGGUGGAUGAGGAGAGAAUCCUAAGGCCGACGGGAGAAGCAUUGUUAAGGAACUCGGCAAAAUGACUCCGUAACUUCGGGAGAAGGAGUGCCAGCGAGAGCUGGCCGCAGAGAAUUGGCCCAAGCAACUGUUUAGCAAAAACACAGGUCUAUGCAAAACCGUAAGGUGAAGUAUAUGGGCUGACGCCUGCCCGGUGCUGGAAGGUUAAGAGGAGAGGUUAGCGGUAACGCGAAGCUUUGAAUUUAAGCCCCAGUAAACGGCGGCCGUAACGAUAACGGUCCUAAGGUAGCGAAAUUCCUUGUCGGGUAAGUUCCGACCCGCACGAAAGGCGUAAUGAUUUGGGCACUGUCUCAACAAUGCACCCGGUGAAAUUGAAAUACCAGUGAAGAUGCUGGUUACCUGCGCCAGGACGGAAAGACCCCAUGGAGCUUUACUCCAGCUUGAUACUGGGAUUCGGUAUUGCAUGUACAGGAUAGGUGGGAGGCUAGGAAGUGAUAACGCCAGUUGUCACGGAGCCGCUGUUGGGAUACCACCCUUGCAGUAUUGGAUUUCUAACCAGCGACCAUGAACUGGUCGGGGGACAAUGUCAGGUGGGGAGUUUGACUGGGGCGGUCGCCUCCGAAAGGGUAUCGGAGGCGCUCAAAGGUUCCCUCAGAAUGGACGGAAACCAUUCGAAGAGUGCAAAGGCAGAAGGGAGCUUGACUGCGACACCGACGGGUGGAGCAGGUACGAAAGUAGGACUUAGUGAUCCGGUGGUAUAAAGUGGGAUUGCCAUCGCUCAACGGAUAAAAGCUACCCUGGGAUAACAGGCUUAUCACUCCCAAGAGUUCACAUCGACGGAGUGGUUUGGCACCUCGAUGUCGGCUCAUCGCAUCCUGGGGCUGAAGUAGGUCCCAAGGGUUGGGCUGUUCGCCCAUUAAAGCGGUACGCGAGCUGGGUUCAGAACGUCGUGAGACAGUUCGGUCCCUAUCCGGCGUGGGCGUAGGAUAUUUGAGAGGAGCUGUCCUUAGUACGAGAGGACCGGGAUGGACUGGCCGCUGGUGUAUCUGUUGCAUACCAAAUGCAUGGCAGAGUAGCCAAGCCGGGACGGGAUAAACGCUGAAGGCAUCUAAGCGUGAAGCCCCCCUCAAGAUGAGAUAUCCCUACGUAAGUAGUAAGACCCCUUGAAGACGACGAGGUAGAUAGGUCAGAGGUGGAAGUACAGUAAUGUAUGGAGCUGACUGAUACUAAUCGGUCGAGGGCAUGAUCA
rnacentral:rRNA from 1 species